GAUGAACGCUGGCGGCGUGCCUAAUACAUGCAAGUCGAGCGAACAGAUAAGGAGCUUGCUCCUUUGACGUUAGCGGCGGACGGGUGGGUAACACGUGGGUAACCUACCUAUAAGACUGGAAUAACUCCGGGAAACCGGGGCUAAUGCCGGAUAACAUUUAGAACCGCAUGGUUCUAAAGUGAAAGAUGGUUUUGCUAUCACUUAUAGAUGGACCCGCGCCGUAUUAGCUAGUUGGUAAGGUAACGGCUUACCAAGGCAACGAUACGUAGCCGACCUGAGAGGGUGAUCGGCCACACUGGAACUGAGACACGGUCCAGACUCCUACGGGAGGCAGCAGUAGGGGAUCUUCCGCAAUGGGCGAAAGCCUGACGGAGCAACGCCGCGUGAGUGAUGAAGGUCUUCGGAUCGUAAAACUCUGUUAUUAGGGAGGAACAAAUGUGUAAGUAACUGUGCACGUCUUGACGGUACCUAAUCAGAAAGCCACGGCUAACUACGUG
rnacentral:rRNA from 1 species